CGAAGCAAAUAACUUCAGUCUCAGUAUGUUGAACCUGUCCGUCUGGGAAACACCGCACUGCCAGCAACCUAUUUCAACCAUAUGCCCCAGCCUCUCCAAACACAUAACCAACAUAACGCAUCAUAUUACCACAGAGAAUGUGAAGCCCUCGACAAACUUUAAACAAAUCAACAGAAAUAUUCGCCAUAGACUUCAGUUGCGUCGUAUGGAGCUUCUCUUGAAAAAUCGACUCCCGGUGAGGAAUUUCUCUCAUCAUUUCAUGUACUUCAACGCUUACUAACUAUUUGAUUAUGUUCUUAAUUAGAUCUGACACGAUAGCAGUUUCCUCUCCCCCAGUCAAUUUCUCCUUAAAUUAAACUUCAUUACUCAUUGGAUUAGAAAUAUAAUGGUUUCUGUUCGGUCUGAACCUCAUCAUAUCAACUUUAAUUGUUCAUAUCAAAUAAUGGUUCGUCUGUGGAACUUUUUUUUUUUAGAAAAAUUCAAGGUCCGACAAAUCCAAUGGGUUCUCAAGAACUUCGACUUGAUAAUGUGCUAUAAUAUUUGUUCGACUUAGUUUUAAAGUUUUAAUCAAUUCUAGUUAUUUGACAUUACAGUAAUCCCUCGCUAUGUAACGCUUCAUCUAGCUACCGCUGCUCCACUCCAUCGUGAGUUGUUAAGAAAUAUUAUUGAAAAUAAUCAUUUAAGGAUUUUCGCUGGUUCGCGGGUUUCUAAAGAAUUCGAUCAGAUUAAAAAAAACACGCGGAACUCGAUUGAAAGUAAGAGUGUGGGAAGGUUUGUAAACACUAAAAACAAUGGAAACUUACCAAACAAUUGCGAUAUCAUUCGAUCGAUUCCCAAUUGUAUAUUUCCCUUAUCGCGGCUACAUCUGGAUCGGAACACCCUCCAUAGGUGACGGAUUACUGUAAUUGAAAACGAGUUCACUAGAAUGAAUCAAGUAAAUUACAUCACAACAUGAUUGGUCUAACGUACUCGUUUUUUCCAGAAUCAGCAUCGCAUUCAUCACAGUUCAGAGGGAUAUAUAAGCGAUCAGGAUUCGAUUAUAACUUGAGCAUUUGCCCAACUUGGCCCUAAACAUUUGCCAGCGCUAAUACGAACCAGAAACAAAAAAUGUAAGGUCCUAGUCAACAUUUCAACUUGUUAACACAACACUAUUAAAGGUCUUAUCAUAUAUCCAUUCGUAAAUACUUAAGAAUUAUCCGACCAAUCGUGUCGGAAAAAAUCACAAUUUGCCUACCUAAAAAUAAAAUAGGAAUAUUUUAAACCACUAAAGAGCUGAAACGUCAAUAAAAUCAUUUCCCUGGAUUUUAGUUGAAUUUUCUUAUGUAAAUUAUAAGCUCUGAAUAUCUUCAGGGUAAGCGUGCAUGCUCUUAACACGGCCACUGUACGAAGAUAAAUGAAGUGUCUAAAUUCAUUCAAUUGUUGUUCGAAAAUUACUACGAAUGCAAGUUUGAUGCGCUAUAUAAACGUUUAUUGUAAUGAUGCUCACGAACUUAGGCUUAUUGUAAUAAUGCACACAAAUGUAAGCGUAUUGUAAUAGUGCCCAUGAGGCUAGGCUUAUUGUAAUGAUGCUCACGAGCUUAAGCUUAUUAAAACAAUGUACGUGCAUAAAUAUUGUAAAAUGUCAGUAAUGCACGUUGCUGCACUUAUCGUACGAAUGCACUCUAAUUGUUUAGAUACACAAACGGUUUUUGAACAAUAAUUUGGAGAUACUUCUUAUGAAUGAAUAAUUAAAAUGACUGACACUUUUUAGUUUCACCAGCAAAGACCUUAAUUUUUUCCUGACAAAACAUAACACCUAUACAUACAAUAUACAACAUACAUACAAUACCGUAUAAUAUAACUUACAAUUUCGUAUAACACGUGUGUGUGCAUUCAAUAACACGGCUUUUACUGCGCCGUGAUUAUUAGUAUGAGUUACAACGUUUGUGAUUAUUAUAUUUAAAAUGCUUUAUGUUGCACAAAUUUUUGUAAAUCUCAAGUAACUUUGUUACUAUUUUAGGUAACAAAUAAUUAGCAAAAAUAUAAAAAUGUACAUGAUAUGUUAUACCUAUAUUAUUUGUGAUAAUUCUAGACUGCUAACUUUCCUGUUAAUAUUCACUGACUUUAUAUCUCGACUGUGUUGAUGGUGACAAAAUCUGCUAUGCCGUAUCAUUAUUAUUUCGAUUACGUAUUGUCAAUGACUGUUAUCCAGUAAUUAUAUUCAAUUAAUUAACGUAGUUAACGAAAGACUUUCUACUUGGAUGAUGCGAGGCUUUUGUGUUAUUAAAUAGCAUUAAGUGUAUACUCGAUAAAAUCAUUGCCACGUAAAAGAAGGGCAGAACAUUGGAAUUCUAGCUUGUACUGGUAUUUUAAGUACAUCGUACUACUUAAUGACGAAUUGUACUUCGACAUUGAUAGCACUACUUAGCACAAUGUUAAUAACCGUGGCUUACAUUCCGUCACCCUUGUCAAAGUGGUCGAUGAGAGAAGUAAGGAAGAAAAGAGAAGUAAAUCUCUUAGGUAAUUAGGACAGAGAACACAUCAAAGUGGGUUUGUUUAUGUUGGUGGACGCAGUGUCAUUAACUUUACUUUGAAAAGAAAGUCCAGUCCAAUUCUAUGGAAAGGACUAUAUGGUUAUGGUCACGUCUUUGUGCGUCAAGCUACGAUUAUUUCGUCACGGUCAGCAUUAUAAGUCACACGACUGCAGCCACCGCAAAUUAUUGUAAUUUGUACCGAUUAUUUGUCAUUAUUCAAAUUGUACCGAUAGCAAGAAAUGUAACCCGCAACUCACUGCUCCAAUCUUGUUAGUCAUAACCGCCAGGCCAACUCGCCGGUUCCGAACAGAAAUACUACAGUUAGUUGCGGUUGUCAAACCCACAACUCACUGCUUGUUUCUAUAUUCUGCUCACUGCUUGUCUGCGACUAUAUAUACGUGGAAUCGAUCAACGUACAGUAGACCACGGUUAAUGUCCGUAUUUUUUUCGUUAAAUAUUGCUUUUAAGUAUCAGUCGAGAUAUGAAUUUCUAAAUAAUGUUUGACUCAUCUCUUCAGCUAGUGUCUGAAGAAUGCUGCGCCAUUAUUGCCUAUUGCCAGUAAAAGCUAGAACUUA